rnacentral:rRNA from 1 species
AAGCGCUUGAAGUCAGUCGCGUUGGGUAGACUCAGCCUCACGGUGUAUUUCUACUCAACGGGUCAACAUCAGUUUGGGGCGCGGGAUAAGGAUCUGGGGAAUGUGGCAGCUUGCUGUGUUAUAGCCCUUUGUCGUACACCGCGCCCUGGACUGAGGUCUGCUUACAGGAUGUUGACAUAAUGGCUCUAAGCGA